UGGGGAAUAUUGGACAAUGGGCGCAAGCCUGAUCCAGCCAUGCCGCGUGAGUGACGAAGGCCUUAGGGUUGUAAAGCUCUUUUGGCGGGGAAGAUAAUGACGGUACCCGCAGAAUAAGCUCCGGCUAACUUCGUGCCAGCAGCCGCGGUAAUACGGAGGAUCCGAGCGUUAUCCGGAUUUAUUGGGUUUAAUGGGUGCGCAGGCGGGAUGUUAAGUCGGCGGUGAAAUUUUGCAGCUCAACUGUAAAAGUGCCUUCGAUACUGGCCUCCUUGAGUGUGGAUGAAGUCGGCGGAAUUUGGUGUGUCGCGGUGAAAUGCUUAGAUAUCACGAGGAACUCCGAUUGCGCAGGCAGCUUACUAAGCCACAACUGACGCUCAUGCACGAAGGCGUGG
rnacentral:rRNA from 1 species